AUGAAGUGCAUACUGUGCAACCCCAGCUUGCUCUUUCGACUCCUACUGCAUCAGCCGGCCGGCAACAAACAUCCAUCCAUGUCCUACUCUCUCACAAGCAGGCAGCAAGAUAUUCAGAUACCUACAACACUGGGCUAUAACAAAGCUCCAGGCCCUGAUGGUUUCCCCGCAGAAUUCUAUCAGAAUUUCUGGGAUAUCAUCAAGUCUGACCUUUUGGAGUUAUUCAAUUGUUUUCAUGCCGACCGACUUGACCUAUUCAGACUUAAUUUUGGCGAGAUUGUCUUGUCGCCGAAGAUUAAGGAGGCCGAAGGAUUCAACAGUUCAGACCCAUAUGCCUCCUUAAUGUCAGCUUCAAGAUUUUCACCAAAGUGGCGACGAAUAGAUUAA
rnacentral:rRNA from 1 species